rnacentral:rRNA from 1 species
UGGGGAAUAUUGGACAAUGGGCGCAAGCCUGAUCCAGCAAUGCCGCGUGGGUGAAGAAGGUUUUCGGAUUGUAAAGCCCUUUCGGCGGGGACGAUGAUGACGGUACCCGCAGAAGAAGCUCCGGCUAACUUCGUGCCAGCAGCCGCGGUAAUACGAAGGGGGCUAGCGUUGCUCGGAAUGACUGGGCGUAAAGGGCGCGUAGGCGGUUUAGACAGUCGGGUGUGAAAGUCCUGGGCUUAACCUGGGGACUGCAUUCGAGACGUUUAGGCUUGAGUGGGGAAGAGGGUUGUGGAAUUCCCAGUGUAGAGGUGAAAUUCGUAGAUAAUGGGAAGAACACCGGUGGCGAAGGCGGCAACCUGGUCCUUGACUGACGCUGAGGCGCGAAAGCGUGGGGAGCAAA